CAGUAGCCGCGGUAAUACGUAGGUGGCAAGCGUUGUCCGGGAUGAUUGGGCGUAAAGCGUCUGUAGGUGGCUUUUCAAGUCCGCCGUCAAAUCCCAGGGCUCAACCCUGGACAGGCGGUGGAAACUACCAAGCUGGAGUACGGUAGGGGCAGAGGGAAUUUCCAGUGGAGCGGUGAAAUGCGUUGAGAUCGGAAAGAACACCAACGGCGAAUGCACUCUGCUGGGCCGACACUGACACUGAGAGACGAAAGCUAGGGGAGCAAAUGGGAUUAGAUACCCCCGUAGUCCCUGUCUCUUAUAC
rnacentral:rRNA from 1 species